rnacentral:lncRNA from 1 species
CUUCUGCUCAUUCAAUCCUGUUUAUUCUGUUUGAUAUAAGGAGCAGAACUUGACUAUUUAUUUGCAGCAAUCCAUUCUUAUUACUUUCCUGCAGGUGACACCUCAACUCUUAUCAGUUUUAAACUGUUGGGUAUAACUCCUUUCUCUGCCGUUCAUAAACUAAGGGGUUGGGUGUUGUAUCAGCAGUAAAAUGCUUUAAAUCAACCAGAAUGAAGAUAUAUAUCAAGCAGGAUUUAGCAGUUGUUCAGGAAAUUAAUCAUCCCUCAGUGUUUUAUGUGUGCAGACUGCCUCACUUCUGAUUUUAAACACACAGAAAACACUCUGUGCUUAUUAAACACCAUGCUGGCUCUGUGUUUCUUGGCUUCCCUGAAAGUUCAAAAGACUGUCAGUGGGACUACAGAGCAAGUUAGAUUGUCAUAUGCAUACUUGAUUAAUGAGUAUUUUCUAUUAAAUGUAAAUGAAUCUAGCUAAGAGGCCAGAAUUUUAGUUUGAUUUCAUUAAUGACAAGGUAUUGGUUUUGAUUCUGAUACCUUUUCCCACUUCCCCUUCUAAUCUAAUAAUCUACAAUUAAAUAAUUAACUAGAAAUGUGUUUUUGUUCUUUCUUUCACAAUAGUCACAAAUUCAUUUUGUCAUUUCUGCCUACGUGUGCUGAAAGAAAUGAAAAGUUGAGGUAAAAUAUGCAUGCGACGAAGUUUGGCAUUACUGGCAAUACUGUUAAUAACUGCAAAUGCAUAAAUUGGACUGGAAUAAAACUACCAGUAUUUCAGUCAUGCUUAAAAAAUAUGGGCUCCUUUUUCUUUUUUUCCGUAGAACUAAACUGUAAAAUGGAAAAUUAUCUCCCGCAGACGGCUCACGUAGCCUCCCCAGUAAGAAUAUGGAAAGUACACUUUUAAUUGGAGGAGUGAUUCAUUUCCAAGAGGCCGGGCUCUGCUCUUCAGUGGGAGGUGUGAAAGGAGCUGCUGGGAGCCAUGGCACCUGCCAGCAGGGCUGGCUCCUUGUGAUGCUGUAAGGGUAAUGGCUCUGACCUAAAGCUUGUGGGUUUGUGCCCUUUCAGAACAGUUCAUGUUUUAAAUGUUAGUUCUAGUGAUGUUGGGUACACUUGCAAAUAUCCAGUUCUGGCAGUUUCACUAAGUGUCUGCCUUCUGUUUCUUGCUGCAACUAGAUAGUGUAAUUACUGUAUGAACAGGAAUUUCUCUAUGAAACGGUUUUUCUGUUACCAGUUCUAAUUUAAUACCCUUUCAAUUGCAUUGUCCGCUGUGAUGUCCUGAGAAAGGUUGAAUAGAUGUUUGUGACCUACUUUCUGUGCUGUUCAUUAUGCUGUAUAUCUUUACCAUGUUGCCCCUUCAAGGGAGUUUGUUUUCUAGGGGAGAACAACUCCUCCUAUCUAUUUAUACACAUGCAUUUCCACUACUCUUUUCUAAAUCUUUGGCUAAAUUAAGAAGCUUUGGUCUCCAUAUUGCCAGUCCCCAAGGAGAAAACUUUCCUUUUCUGCUGUUUAUAAGAAAGCUCUUGUGGAGAGCUACUUUCCCCGGGGAAAUUUUCUCUUCCUUUUUUGUACUUCACUGACAAGAUACGUCAGUGUUAUGAGGUGGAGUACCUUGUUGUCACUGGGUUCUCCUCCAGAGACUUUGUGACUGUUCCUCUUGCCCUCUGGCAAGAUGAAGAUCUUUCCAAGAGGACAGAGGAAUGAGCAUUCCUAUAUUUAGAUACUAAAUUACUCAUGUGUGGUUGUCCUUCUGCCCUCAAAGUAAUAUUGGUAAUACCUAAAAAUCAUAGCAUGUGCUGACUUUUAAUUUUUUUCUUAUUUCAUGACUUUUAUUGAAGAAGGGUUAAGGGUACAUCAACUUUUUUUUUCCUGUUUUUUCAAACAACUUUUAGAAAAAGGACACUUGGAUCAGUCCUAGGCACUGUCUAAUGUUGAACUUGAUGUUUCAUCCACAGUAGCUAUUUGCUGUGCAUUCUUACUGGAUCUUUGGUGGAUAUCUCAAAUUUCAUAGCUUAGAGUUGCGUUCCAUUGUCUUUCCGUGGUAUACAAUAGCUGCUCUUUGCCAUACAGGACUUACUGGGGGCUUGCUGUGCGGAGUGAUGCUUCACUGGGGGAGAAAAGCUCUGGAAAGCAUGUGUUUUUUGCCUCUUGUGUAAAUUUGCAGCAUAGAACAAAAUGUGCUUAGGUUUGUAGGAUUAGGCACACAUGGAGUUAGGAGCAAGGACUUUCAUGCAUGUUUCCACAUGUUUUAUUGGGAAACGUUAAGAUGGUGAUGUUCAUCAUCUUUGCCUGAUCAUGUAUUGGACCUGAUAGUCUCUUAUCUCACAUUUGAGAUAGCUUGAAAGAACAAAGAUCUUAAAUCUGGCUGAGGGUUCAAAAGCGGAAUUUAUAUACAAAGGCAAAGAAGCUGCUUGCUUUCUAAAGGGCAAUCUGUAUGCAAAGGAGAAAUGGAUAUUAUUUUUCCAUUCAAAAAAUAUUGAGAGAGGGAGGGAGGUACCUGGUAUAUCUUAAUUUAGCAUCUUAAUGAUAUUCUGACUGGCUACAUGUGUGAAAUGGAAUCAAAAGACUCAAAAAAAAACUCUAGACAAAAAAUAUUUUAAAAAUACCAUCCAUCUAGAGUGCCUUCCAGGAAACUAUGGGUAAGCUGAUCACAAGGGGAAAUGACUUCUAGGCUGUCAUUAGGUACUUGUAUUUUCCUAAAGUCAGAGCCUGGGACUAGGAAGAAUGUUAAGCCCUUAAAAGUUUCUGCCUGAAAAAGGUAUUUUGAGAUGUCAAGAUGUACCAAAGUAAUGAACUGCAGAUGCCUACUGCUUUACAGAUGAUGGAGUGUGAGGCUGCAGGGGCUCUGUAAGAUGCCUGCCUUGCAGAUGUUCACAGAAUAAAAGACUGACUUAGGUUGGAAGGGACCUUGCAGACUAUCUAGUUCCAACCUCACUGCUAUGGACAGGGCUGCCACCCACCAGCUCAGGCUGCCCAGGGGCCCCUCCAGCCUGGCCUUGAAUGUCUCUGAGGAUGGGACAUCCUCAGUGUCUCUGGGCAGCCUGUGCCAGUGCCUCAUCACCCUCUGAGUAAAGAAUUUCCUUCUAACAUCUAAUCUAAGUCUCUUCUCUCUUAGCUUAAUAACCAUUAAAAACCAUUUGCCCUUGUUCUGUCACUAUCAGACCAUGUAAAAAGUUUUUCUCCCUCUUGCUUAUAAGCUUCCUUUACAACUGGCAGGCCGCAAUGAGGUUUGCCUUGAGCUUUCUCUUCUCCAAGCUAAACAAACCCAGCUCCCCCAAACUUUCUUCAUAAGAGAUACGUUCUGGCCUUCUCUUAUGAAUAUAUGGGUAGUCAUGUACAUUCAUGCUCACCAACUGGCUCAGGUACACUACAGUGCAGCUGUGGAGGAAGGCAGAUGUAUAAGAUGGGUAGGUGUUCAUAAAUCUGUGAAAGAAAAUGAAUGAAAUAUGCACAGGUCUUUUGUGACCCUUCCUUCCUGCUGAUGCUGUGCUUGUGUGAGAAUAUGGAAAAUCAAUCUGGAAGCAGUUCGAGGUCAUUUUUAGCAACACAAUGGUUGCAAGCCCUGAAAGAAGGAUAUCCUGUACACAGCCUGCUGGUGGCCCCUGAGUAGUUGUCCCCAUGCACAACUCCAAACAUGAGCCUGCAUGUUAAUACAUUUAGUAAGUGGUUUUGCUCUUCUGGGUCUAUGCUGAAUGAGAAAGCAGCAGCUCACGCAGGGAGGAGAGGCAGGUGUGAUGGAAAGAUAUCAUGGUUUGUGACUGCAAGCAGUACAAGGUAUCCUCUGCCCUGUAAUCAUGACAGUCUGCUGAGAAAUGAGUUGUAGUGCAGAGAUCUCAUUGGAAAUCAGGUGAAAUGUGGAUUUUGUGCUGCGGGGAAUGCAGCUACAGGGCUGUCACUUCAAUAACCUUCCACAAAAGAGACUGGAGGAAAAGUCAGAGAUGCAGCUCAACCCCCAGCUGUAAUGAGUUUCUCUAAUGGUUGUGAAAUGUUUCAUCUGUCUUCCUACUCCUGCAUGGGGAGUGAUACUGUCAGUGCUGGUUCCUCUUUUUCCAUCCUGCCAUAUUUUGAAACCAGACAAAUAUUUUUAGAAACUAAUUUUCCCUUGCAUUCUUUGUGAAUGCAGCCCAUCCCUUUUGCAACCAGGACCUGUGUUUAUAUGCACUGGAGUCCUUUGUUUUUAUAGAGCUGUGGAAGAUAACCUUGGGAGGAGGGAGCUGAAAUCAAGUGGGUCUUGUUUAGUUCUACUUUACUGCUGUCUUUGUUUUGCUUCCUGCAGAAGACUGGACUUCUGAAAUCUGAAAAAGCUGAAGCUCGUUGGGAAGGAACACACUUCCCCACUUAUGGGGUAGCAUUUUACAGUGAGACUUUCAUGAAUAUACAAGUACAUAAUUGCAUGUAUGGGAGUGAAAAAAAAACAAUGGUUAGUCUGAGAAAAGCUGGGAGUCUGAUGUGAGAAACUGUUGAUGUUACUGGCUCCUUCCACAUCCCCUCAGAAGCACAGCAGGCUGUUGCUAAGGGUCCAGGGAGGUUCUGUCCUGUCUGUCCUUUUUGACCUCAGCACGUUAAGGUGUCUGCAGGGUCAGCCUUGAGGUACAGGGAAUGAUAUAUUGAUGAUGUUCAUCAUACUUUUCUCACUCUUCUGUAUCUUCUAACUCAACAUGGGCGCCAAUAAUCCCUAAAUAAAUGAGACUGAGACCUUAAACUGAACAUCUGUGCACUUGCUGGUUGUUCUGUAAGAUAUACCUAUCUCAUUCAUGAAAUAGGUUUUCUCUGUAUUUCAUCUGCUUUGGUAAUGAGCUGUAUAGUGCCAUUUGCCUUGGAUGAUGUGCCAGUUGCUGAGCAGUCAAAAAUAUGUGCAGUUCUGAACAGGGUACACAGAAACACGGACAUAAUCUCCAAAAUCUGAUUUGUGUGCUGGCAUAUUUGGUUUCAGUCUCUGAACCUGAAUGUUAUUGUUGCUUCUUGGGUAGUAAUUAUAUCCCAUGUAUUUCAGAAGUUACAGUCCUUUUGGACCAAAUGAGUUUUAUGCAAGUUCAGCAGUGGGCUAAAAGGUCAAACUAAUUAUUGGCAAGUGUGAAUUGAGUUUAAAUGUCUAAUGUGGCUGACUGGAGGAAUGAGUGUUAAUAAAAACUGCUCUUGGGAAGAAUUUACAAAUUUGAUUGAAAGAAUUAAUGUGUUGUAGACAGAACUUUAGUUUGAAGUCGAGUGUUAAUUGCAAUACUUCAGCUAAAUCAAAAGACAGAGGAAGGACACUUUGUUCAGUGCUGGAAGACAUUCCACCGAAGUACUAAAUGAGAGCUAUGAGGAACUUGGACUUUUUUUUUCCCAAAGAAACAUCAGUAGCUUUCAGUUUGUUUUGGAAAUUAAGAGAAGACCUUUUAGAGCUGAUAGAAACAGCAGAAAGGUUUAACUUGGCUUAAGGUUUCGUUUCAGAAAGAAAAUGAGGAUACUGGUGUCACAAUGCUCUGCUCUUGAUGAUGUAACUAGUUUAAAGGAACAAUAACCUAAACUGAAACUGUAGUGAUCGAAGAGGAGGAGGAGGAAAAGAAGAACAACUAUGCAACAACAAGCUUAUGCUGAAUGGUUGGCAUGACUGACUUCCUUUCAGAGGUUUUCACCGCCCUUCUAGAAUCUUGAUUCAGAAUAGUCUGCAGGAUCUCAUGCUGAACUUCUCUCAUAAUUGUAUGCACAGUUACUUCUAAGAGCUUGUGGGAAUGCAAGUUGGUUUGUGCAAGUUACAAGCACAGAGGAUGCACAGAAGAAAAUGCUGGCUGGGCUACUGCAGGGUAGAAGGCAGAAAGCAGCUGGAGAAAAUGAUUACUGAGACAUUUAAAAUGGUAAUUGCAGAGAUGAAACAGGACUAGACUUUGGGGGGGGGGAGGAAUAUGAAAGAUUUGGUGGUUGUCAUAAAAUUCUGUUCCACUCUGAGCUAAAAAGGAGUUAGAUGAAUAUUUAGGCAUGGUUAACUUGUCUAAACUGAUUGUUGAACACAAUUUCCAUAAUGGAGAAGGAAUUGAAGAAAAGACUGAAAGAUUUAAAAGAAGUGGCUCUUCCAAGUAUAUUAGGCAUACAUAUAAAUCCUAUAAAAAGUUAAAUGAUGGGUGCUUUUACUUCAUGAGAUAAAAAUGUAGCCUAUAACCCUGAAUAAUGCUUUCUGUCAAAUUAUUUAAAAAUUAGAUGUCCAUUAGAAUUCAAAAUCGCUUUGCUUUGGGGAGCUAUUAGGAAAAUCUUAACUGUUCCAGGUACAUAGCAGGAGAAAGCAGCUAAUAACUGGUUCAGGUAGGUCGUACAGAAGGAUUAUGAUUUGAGAUAAGUGGUUUUAAGGAUGAGCACAUACAUGGAUGUGAUAAUUGGUCUUGGUUGGCAGCCUACCCAGCUGCUCUCACUCCUCUCCUCUACAAGACAGGGUGGGAAUGUGGGAUGGAAAAGCUUAUGUGUUGAGAUAAAGACAGGGAAAUCACUUACUUGUUACUGUCAGAAGCAAAACAGGGUUUGGCUGGAGAAACUUAAUUUAUUGCCAAUUAAAAUCUCAACACAAAGGUGAGAAACAGAGGUAAGAGCUGAAACGCCUUCCUUAACCUCCUCCCCCCUCUUCAUUCCCUGAGUUCAUUUUUGUUCCUUCAUUACUGCCACUGCUCUCUCCUGCUGCUGACCAGCACAGGAGGAUGAGGAUGGGAAUGGAGCUUGUGGUCAGUCCAGAACAGCUCCUUGCUGCCACUCUGAAACUCAAAGUGCUUAGCAGUUUUCAUUUGGUUUUUUUUGCUUUUAUGAAAGACUUGUUGAGAUUUUUUUUUUCCCCAAAGUAAAGCAUUCAGAGAGAUUGUGAGCAAGUGUGAAGUGCUUGUGGCCAUGUACUCAAUCUUGUACAGGUGUAAGUGUCUCUCAACUCUUACCAAGCCCUUCCCAAACGAACUGCAAUUGCAUGACUGUCUCCUCAUGAAAUGUAUGUGAGACUUCAAGCAGCAUGUGAAAGAAAAGCUGCAGCCCCAAUUAAAAAAACCCUUACAUUAUUUACUUUUCUCUCCACCAGAAACAGACCUUCACACCUGUGAGCUUCUUUGGGGAGUCACUAUAUUUGGCCUCUUGCUGCUAGAAAAUGCCAUUAAUUCGGGAUCAGAGUUUCUGUGGAAAAGGCCUGUGAGCUUCCAAUUACAACAGAGUGUUCCAGCUGGAGCAGCUCUGCAGAACGUGUCUUUUUUAGAGUGGUAGUGGAGGGAAGUCCUGGGUUUUGGUCAGAAUGCCAAGCCUAUGCUUUUUGUGUUAGUCAUUUUGAGGAAUAAAAAUGAAAGAUCCUUUUUCAAGCACAUCUGCCAGAGCCAGGAAGCCAUAUAUUGCUCAUGCACGCUUUCAUUCAGUCACAUCACCAAAAGCAAAGCUUGUUAGAGGUUGCUUGCAGAGUUAAACCCUUGGAGGGGGAGUCCUGCUCUUCUACCUUGUGUAGAAUCUUCAGCAGUUCGGGCAGUAUGCAGCUAUAAACUAGGAACCUAAAGAAAUCAAUUUGGCAAAAAAAACUUUUUAAAUCAGUACAGGUGAAGUUUGAGUUUCCACUAAAAAACAAGAACUUGAGCAGAAAUUCUGUUGUAAAUCAGCUCACACACCUGCUAUCUUAUUCUGUUGGUUGGUGCUUGAGGAAUCCAGGCUGUUGGUUCUUUGUGCUGAGUGCUAAUACACAUUCUCUGUUACAAAGCAUGUUACUUAAGCCUGUGGCUUUCUUGUUACCUCGUACUGCUUUCCUUGUGUAGACUAUUUAAUGGAAGAGCAAGUUAUUGGAGAAAUAUUUCCUUGUAGUUGCUUGAAUGAGUAUUAUUUACGUAUUAUUUCAUUACUUGCAUAAUCAUCUUGCUUUGCCAGUGUAUAAAUUUGUGGAACAGAUGUUAUGAUACAGAUGCAGACUGAUGGGCCCAAAUUCUGUCUACGCCCUUUGAACACUAAUUCUUUCAUUAUGUAUUCAUGUCUACAACUGAUAAGAAAAGCUUGAAAGGGAAUGUUCUUACACUUGUUAUAUAUUGGAUUUGAACAAUCAAAACACAUGAAGUUUUUCAUUCUAACUGAAACUUCUUCUGUAAAGCUCAGAUCUAAAUGAGGAUGCAGAUCUUCUCAGUGCCACAGGAAGUUGUUGGAAGCAUUUACUAGUACAAAAAAAGCCCACCCACCAAAUCCAUUAAUGUGUUGAAGGCUGCUCUUCGGGCUUCCUGUCUCAGGUGGGUCUGGCCAUGUAAAGGUUUCUGCUCUGCUGAUCAUGAGAACAAGGAGCUUACUGAAUAAUGGUACUUCUUGGACUUGCUCUAAAAUGACUUCAACUAGUUAGCUGGGACCUUAGCUGAUGCCUCCGGUAGGCUAAUCCUGUAUUUUGCAUUAAAAUGUUGCUCUGCUCUAAGGAAAGACAAUAGCAAAAAUAUUACUUUAAGUGUUUACUUAAAAUGCAGUAAGUAAAAUGAAUGCAUUCUUGUCACCUGAAGUAAUCACUGUACUUCAGGCAGUUUGAGUUAGCACUGAUAAAUUUAUAGUGAAAAGUCUUUCUUUCUACAGGAUGAUUUCAUUGGAGAAGAGUAAUAACUGAGCUGUUAUGCGGCCUGAUGCAGUCUUACUGACUGAAUUUAAGCCUCCUGAUCAGACUAUAGUCAGAAGUUUGUAUCUGAUUACUAUAUGCUCAAAAGAAGGGAAAAACCGAGCUAAUGUUGGGAGUGUAGUACAGGAAUACUUCUGUGACUUACAGAAAUUGCUUUGGUUUUGGCAGGAUUUAUUGCUCUCAGCUGAGCAUUAGCCACACAGGACCCAAAGUGAUUCAAAUCCUAACAAGUGUGCCUGCAGUGCUUGGGUUCUGCUUGGGUUCAGUAAAUGCAUAGGGCCAGCAGGGACCUGGCAUGGUGCCCCGGUGGAUAACCCCCCUGUCCCUCCUCUCCUCCCCCCCAGCCCUUAGCAUCCACAGUGCUGCUGGUGGAGGCAGCACAGAGCCUUUCUGAAGCUCCUGUUCCUUGCAGCUUGCCAGUCUUGGCUGCACUCAAAUGAAACAUGAGGAGCAGAGGGAUGCUACGGCACAUAGUUCCCAACUGUGACAAUUUCAGGGUUACAGUCUUAAUACUUAAAACACAGAAUCUGGCCUGGUUCUGUGUAAAACUGCCUCAGCCUUACAGCCAGAGCAGGUAGAGACUUUUUCAGUUCCAUGCUGGUACUGGGAGUGAUAGAGGUGUUCAGCCAUUCUUGUCUCUGCCUCCCUUGCAAUUAGUGCUGCAUAAUAGAAUGCUUGAAAGCUGGCUGCGUUUUUGAAGUUCUCUGAGUUUUUGAAGAAAGCUGAUGGAAAGGUUAGAGACUUGAAGUCAUCAGUGGCUCUGCUUGCUAUUUAAUUCUGUAUGAUGAAUCCUAAAACACUUAAUUUUAUGACUACCAGUGUUUUUCCUCUGCACAUUUGUCUUAAAACGUUCUCGCUGUGUCCAUGGACCUUCUGCUGGAAUUUGAAACAAGGCACUUCUAUGCAGAAUUCAUUGUAAAAUAAACAUUAAAAUUCUAAAGCAAUGCUCAUAUCCUACCAUUCUUCAUUAUUUGUAUUACGGUUGGUUUAACUGCUGCUGGUAGGUGUCUUGUGAUGAAUGCAUUCAGACUAGCUCUUCUAUAUAAUUUUCUCAUACAGCAUUUGAAACAAAUUAAGACUACAUACUGAAAAUUAUUUUAUUAUAAUUAUGAUGCACUCAUUUCAAGAAAAGCAUA